rnacentral:rRNA from 1 species
CCCAGGCCCUAUGGGGCGCAGCAGGCGAGAAAACUUUGCAAUGUGCGAAAGCACGACAAGGUUAAUCCGAGUGGUUUCUGCUAAAGGAACCUUUUGUUAGUCCUAGAAACACUAACGAAUAAGGGGUGGGCAAGUUCUGGUGUCAGCCGCCGCGGUAAAACCAGCACCUCAAGUGGUCAGGAUGAUUAUUGGGCCUAAAGCAUCCGUAGCCGGCUCUGUAAGUUUUCGGUUAAAUCUGUACGCUCAACGUACAGGCUGCCGGGAAUACUGCAGAGCUAGGGAGUGGGAGAGGUAGACGGUACUCGGUAGGAAGGGGUAAAAUCCUUUGAUCUAUUGAUGACUACCUGUGGCGAAGGCGGUCUACCAGAACACGUCCGACGGUGAGGGAUGAAAGCUGGGGGAGCAAACCGGAUUAGAUACCCGGGUAGUCCCAGCUGUAAACUAUGCAAACUCAGUGAUGCAUUGGCUUGUGGCCAAUGCAGUGCUGCAGGGAAGCCGUUAAGUUUGCCGCCUGGGAAGUACGUACGCAAGUAUGAAACUUAAAGGAAUUGGCGGGGGAGCACCACAAGGGGUGAAGCCUGCGGUUCAAUUGGAGUCAACGCCAGAAAUCUUACCCGGAGAGACAGCAGAAUGAAGGUCAAGCUGAAGACUUUACCAGACAAGCUGAGAGGUGGUACAUGGCCGUCGCCAGCUCGUGCCGUGAGAUGUCCUGUUAAGUCAGACAACGAACGAGACCCUCAUCUUUAAUUGCAACUGGUAAGUCCGCUUAUCAGGCACAUUAAAGAAACCGCUGGCGAUAAGUCAGAGGAGGGCGAGGGCAACGGUAGGUCAGUAUGCCCUGAAUCCUCCGGGCUACACGCGCGCUACAAAGGUCAGGACAAUGGGCUUCGACACCGAGAGGUGAAGGUAAUCCCGAAACCUGGUCAUAGUUCGGAUUGAGGGUUGAAACUCACCCUCAUGAAGCUGGAAUCCGUAGUAAUCGCGGAUCAACAUCCCGCGGUGAAUAUGCCCCUGCUCCUUGCACACACCGCCCGUCAAACCAUGCGAGUUGGGUUUGAGUGAGGAUGCAGUUCUUGCUGCAUUCAAACUUAGGCUUCGUAAGCGGGGUUAAGUCGUAAC